UACAGAGGGGGCGAGCGUUGUUCGGAAUUACUGGGCGUAAAGGGCGCGUAGGCGGCCAACUAAGUCAGACGUGAAAUCCCUCGGCUCAACCGGGGAACUGCGUCUGAUACUGGAUGGCUUGAAUUCGGGAGAGGGAUGCGGAAUUCCAGGUGUAGCGGUGAAAUGCGUAGAUAUCAAGUGGAACACCAGUGGCGAAGGCGAGUCCCUGGACAAUUCCUGACACUGAGGCACGAAAGCUAGGGGAGCAAACAGG
rnacentral:rRNA from 1 species